AAGAAGGAAAAAGAAAAAUAGUACAAACUGAGUGUUAUGGUACAUGGCUGGAAUCAUAACACCAAGGAAUUUUGCACUUUUCUUUUUAUAAAUUUACAUUGUGUGUGUGUGUGUGUAUGUGUGCACAUGUGUGUAUGCACUUGCCUGUGUGUGCUCACCCAUGUAAACAUACAUGCAAAUGACCAGAAGAGGCUGUGGAUCCCCUAGAGCUGGAAUUACAGUUGUAAGCUGCUUGACAUGGGAGCUGGCAACCAAACUGGUGUCCUCUACAAGAGAUACAUACUCUCCUAACCACUGAGCCUCCCAGCCCACACUCCAAGUGAGGGUACACAGUGUUUCUUCUUGUGUCACAGGAAAGGACCAAUGCUGAGUGUUUCAGACCCACAAAAGCCAGAAAUGUCAUGAUUCAGCCUCAUAGUUGCAAAUCUAAGCUGUCCUCUCUUCAGCUAUGUAUGUGUGUGUGUAUGUAUGUAUGUAUAUGUGGCUUUUUUAUGAAACCUAUCUUUAAUUGGAAAAGUCUCAUCUUUGUGUCUUUAUUCUUAUGAGCUUGCACCCAUGAAGGAAGAGUGGGACCAGGCAAAAAUGAGUGAGAAGACAAAACACACGAUGGGAUGAGUUACACAGAUAAAGUGAAAUAAGGACAUGAGCCUAUGAAAUAAGCUGGAGAGACGGCCCGGCAGCUAAGGGCACUGGGUGUUCUUUCAGAAGACCCAGGUUUGGUUCCCCCCCUCAAGACAUGACAGCUUCCAGCCAUCUGUAACCCUAGUUCUAUUGGAUCACAUGCCCUCCUCUGACCUCCAUGGGCUCUGCGUGCAUUCAGUGCACAGAUAUGUGCAGGCAAACAGCUGUACACAUAAAAUAAAGAUUUGAAUCAAAGCCAGAAAUCCCUUUAAUCCCAGCUCUUGGGAGACAGAGGCAGGGGGAUCUCUGUGAGUUUGAGGACAGGCUAGUCUAUAUAGAGAAUUCAAAGACAGGAAUAUGUAGAGAGAUGUAUGUAUGUAGUCUCAAACAAAACAAAAUAGAAUUUAUUUUUAAGAUUUAUUAUAUGUAAGUACACUGUAACUGUCUUCAGACACAACAGAAGAGGGCAUCAGAUCUCAUUACAGAUGGUUGUGAGCCACCAUGUGGUUGCUGGGAUUUGAACUCAGGACCUCGGGUAAGAGCAGUCAGUGCUCUUAACCACUGAGCCACCUCUCCAGCCCCAAAAUAGAGUUUUUAAUUUAAAAUAUUUUUGAAUUAAUAGGAAGAG
rnacentral:lncRNA from 1 species